GCCAGACUCCUACGGGAGGCAGCAGUGGGGAAUAUUGGGCAAUGGGCGCAAGCCUGACCCAGCAACGCCGCGUGAAGGAAGAAGGCUUUCGGGUUGUAAACUUCUUUUCUCAGGGACGAAGCAAGUGACGGUACCUGAGGAAUAAGCCACGGCUAACUACGUGCCAGCAGCCGCGGUAAUACGUAGGUGGCAAGCGUUAUCCGGAUUUACUGGGUGUAAAGGGCGUGUAGGCGGGACUGCAAGUCAGAUGUGAAAACCACGGGCUCAACCUGUGGCCUGCAUUUGAAACUGUAGUUCUUGAGUACUGGAGAGGCAGACGGAAUUCCUAGUGUAGCGGUGAAAUGCGUAGAUAUUAGGAGGAACACCAGUGGCGAAGGCGGCUUGCUGGACGAAAACUGACGUUGAGGCUCGAAAGCGUGGGGAGCAAACAGGAUUAGAUACCCUCGUAC
rnacentral:rRNA from 1 species